UGUGUCACUACCCCUUCCACCACCUCUCCCCCGUCAUUCCCCCGCUCACCGUGCCAUCUACCUACACGUGCUCUUUCCAAGCCUCCUCCAUCCCUCAGUUUCUCUGACUCGGUUUGAUUUUUUUUGUGUUCUCUGUUCAUCUCUCUCUCUCUCUCUCUCUCUCUCUCCACCCCUCAUCAUACUCAUCCUCGGCCCCCACCUACACCCCCUACGCUGUUUGUGUGUCACCGCUGCCUGGAAGAAAGAAGAAGAAGAAGAAAUGCUCCGGCCAGUGGCAGUCAGUGAGCGGAGAGGCGGAGAGGGGAAAACAGAGGGAAGAGCUGGGGCGCGUUCACAGCACAGCGAUGACGCCGUUCACCAGCACCGGCCAGACUUGAUGGACUUAUCCCGGACUGCAGAGGGCAGACGGAAGGAGAGGGAGAAGAAGGAAGGAAAAGAAGAAGAGGAGAAGGACUGAAGAGGCACCUGCCUCAGGAAGCUCCCGCCAGUCCAGUCUCAUUGUCCUCACACACACACACACACACACACACACACACCUCGCUGCCCGAGUGUGUGUGCAUGUGUGUGCGAGGACGGAGGUGUGGCAGGUCAUUGUCCAGCACCGUGCUGCUGAGUGCCGGCUUCAAUUCUAAGGUGGACGUGGAUGCGGCCCGUCACGUAGGCCAUGCCCUUCACCUGCGCCUGCUUCUGUGGCCUGAACGGCUUCUGCCGCAGACGGAGGAAGAAGAAAAAGGAGCAAGUGGACGAAGUGGAGGGUGAGGAGGCGGAGCGCUGUGGGGACCAGGAGACAGAUGUGUGACAGCUGUGCUGUCGGCCACGCCCUCUCCUUUACCCUUUAAAAGACUUUCAAAGGAACGUGCAGCCCAUUCAGGCUGGAAGUUGCAGGAAAUGGCGUGUGUGAGCGGUGGACGCAGAGAACGUUUUCAAAAUUGACCAGAGGCUGUAAACAGGUCAGAUGUUCCACAAAUCUGAUGCCAAAUCACCGUCGUCAUCAUCAUCAUCAUUGGGUGAGAAAUCAAUUUCUCCCCCUUCUUUUUUCCUCUGUGUUUUCACUUCAUCUUCUCCGGCGCACACACACACACACACACACACACACACACUGAGGCGGUCGAUGCUGGAGCGGGUAUUGAGCAGUGGCUGUGGUCUAAAUGAGAGUUUGAUUUCUCAGGGGGUGUCAGCCCCUGUAACUGUGGUGUUGAGUCACCAUCAGAGACCUCUUCACAAAAUGCCAAUUGAUGAAUGAGUGACUGUGCGUGCGCGUGUGCGUGUGUGUGUGUGUGUGUGUGUGUGUGUGCACUUUAAACGUGUUGUGAUUUAGCUGUACCCAAGAACAAUACUUUUCAUUACAGGCUGAUAAAGUUCAUUAAGGACGAGCGGUGACUUGAUCUGCUCUUUAACACUUCAUUCUUGUGACAUUACACACACACACACACACACAGGUAAAUGGAUGUAUGGACUGCCAAUAGAAUAAAUAUAAUUAAGUAUUUAAUGAUGGAUCUUUAAAUGCAUGGGUUUGUACCCAAUUUAUAAUUGUUUAGGAAUCGUAAGCCUUCAGAAUCAUAGCGAAAUCAAAUGACACGUUAUCAUUAAUACAUGGAAAAGCAAAAAAAAAAUGAAAUAAAUAAAUCACAUAAUACACUGUGUUCCUGUGGACUCAUCUCUUGAGAUGAGAACUCAGGCAUUACUUCAUUUUUUUGACGUUGCAUGAUGCAGCUGAAAAAACAUGCCGGUCCAAAAUGGUGGCCUCUGCAGAGCUGACCUGGAUCCUGAUAUAAAUAAGAAAGGCUCAUUCUGGGAUAAUGAAAAACAGCCACUCCUUCAGCUCAGUGAUUGUACACUUGUGCAUAAUGAAGUAUAUUUAUUUUAUCUUCAAUUCCUGCCAAAUCAUUUCUUCUAAAUUUCACACACUGGACCAGUUUGUAGGUUUUAGUGGCCUCUCGGGGUCACUUCACGCUCCCCAUCCAAGUGUAGGAAAGAAAGUGGCCCUCAGUUAUCAUCAAGAGCCGUUCCUGGAGACGGGGUUUGACUCGUCUAUUCUGGGAUGCCAUACAAACAUAGCUGUUACAAUUAUACAAGAGUGAGAGUUUGUUUUGUGUGCAUUUCUGCAAAUACGAGGCCUGUAUUGAGGUAACACUUUGUUUUACGCGUGCAUUGAGUAUUGAGUCUCACAUGAACCCGGCACAUGCACAGAUGCAAGGGCAGUCUCCCUCUUCAUAACAUUGACUGAGCCGCUGAUGGCGUCUGAACCAACAGGAAAAGACCCAAUGAUCGUGAGCCAAUCACCGCACCCGCAACAAUUAGUCUUCCUGUGUGUGUUUUUAUGGAUCUCAUACCUGUUGGCCUUUUGCAGUGGGAGAAAAGUGAGGCAGAGACGGAGAGUGAAUCACAGAGGAGGAGGAGGAGGAGGAGGAGGAAGAGGGACCUUUGACAGAGCAGCGCUGACAAACAGUGAGAUACAUAAACAUGAGGUCAGAGAGUAUCGCAGCGGGAGGGGGAGGAGGACGAGAGGCCAAGUGUUUGAAAGUGUGUGUGAGAGAGAGAGAGAGAGAGGGGGGGAAAGAGAUAUGCUGCUACGGGAAGAUUGUCUCUCAUUGACAAGCUCUCACUCUGUUCAGGAAACCCGGCAAUCAAUGUUUUGGCAUGGCAGGGCACGCACACACACACACAUCAGUCUGUGUGUUUUAGUGUGUGUGUGUGUGUGUGUGUGUGAUGGAGGGGGAGAGGAUGUGCUCGAGGUCUUGGUGGUGCAGGAGAGAGUGUGUGUUUGUAAUGCAGAGCACGUCAAGAGUCCUACGGAGCUCCUUUUGCAGCAAAGCCUCAUUAAAGAGACACUUGCCUUAAAGGGAGGAAAUACUGCCGGACACACACACACACACACACACACACACUCAGACUAACAGCGACACACACACACACACACACACAAAGCUUCUCUUAGCAUCUCAGCAAAGAAAUGAAUGCAGAGCAAGUGGAGGAGUAAAUGCAGCCUCCGCCCACCCUUCCCCUUUCUUUUUUUUUUUCCUUUAAUUUCCUCUCUUUGUUCACCACAUGAAUAAAGUCAUCCAUUCAUCCACCUGCCUCCUACUCUCACACUGAUAUUAUAUUCAUUUCUAUUUGAUUGUGUCAACUCUGUGGAGAUUGGCUAUGAUGUAUCUUGUGUGCCUUUUUUUAAAAAAAAAAUGCUUCUAUGAAUAAAUAAUGUCUGUACUCACUGAAAAGCCAUAUUGCCAGAAAGCCAUGAUGAAAUGAUAAUGUAAUAUCUGUCCCUGUGUUGAAUAAAGUAACCCCCUCCCUCCCCUAUAAUUAUUAUUAUUGUUGUUGUUUUUUUGUUUGUAUUUUCUUUCAGUAAAUGAAAUCUAAAUUCCUGCGACUCUCUGAUACGUUUGCACUGCUGCUCUCUGUGUGUUUUAAUAAAGAGAAAGCCUGUUUCUAUA